rnacentral:lncRNA from 1 species
GGUGAUUCACGGGAGGGCGGCGCCACCAGCAUCACACGCAACGCCUCAGCCGGCAGCCUGCUGCCCUUCCCUACGUUCCGGCAAUCCGUCAUGGGGUCCGGGCAGCCGGCAGCAGCGGCUCAUGGGUCCUUCAGUGAUAGGGCCCUGGAGGAGCAGUUGGCGGCUGGCGUUAACCUGGGCCUUACGCGCGGAGACGAUGCCGGCGACGGCAGUUCCAUUAGUGGCCGUUACUACCGGUGCGAGGUGUUGGUUGGUGUAUUUCCUGGUCAUGGUUUGAUUGUCUUGUGAUGCGAUACCUACCCCCUAAUGGAGGCUGUCAUGUUGCGGGGGGCUCCCCUCUCACCUCGCCAGUUUAGGGGUACUGGGACGUGAGGUGCAGCCCCCGACCUGGCCGCCACUCUCCCCAUCCUCUGUUCUUUGGGAAAAGGUGUGGCACACUAAAAGGUGGUAACCCAGUGGUGUGGCUUUUUUCGCCGUCUACCGUCUGACGGUAUGCCACACACACGGCGGUGUAUGCUCGCGGUGCUGCACUUGCCUGUACAGUGCAUGAUAUGGGAAUCUAAACCACGUUCUUUUCCUUGAGUACCAUUCAGGCGGCCACUGUUAACGCCAGCCCUCACACGACUUGCCUUGCCCGUGGCCCUGUAUAUGCAUCUGCUUACCUAGGGUCCCCCUGGCCCACUGUUACGCAGAUCCCCUAAGCUAUCUCUUUUUCCCAACUCAUUGUCAUUAAUCUCCACAACCAGCUCCUAUCUCAAUUGUUAUUUGUGUCAAGAUGGGGUCUCGUCCGGGGCGGGGGCUUUCCUUUCUUACUGCUAACGCGCCCUCCCCACCUUGUGGCCCGCCAUGCCUGCCUACCUGCCCGCCUGCAGCUAUGUGUUUGACCCGGCGGACGUGCAGGCGGAGAUGGAGGUGACGGCCCGAGUGCGGCGAGCUGCCGCGGAAGCCCUCAUGGAGGCCAAUUCCAAGCUGGCGGAGGCGCAGGCUGCGGCUGCGGCGUUGCAACAGCAGGUGGAGCAGGCCAAGCAGCUGGAACAGGUAGGGAGUUAGGAGGGUAUGGUGAUGGGGAACACCGCGAAGGGGAGCUGGGCGCGUUGGUGACCUACGGUGCGGGGAGGUGACGGGGCGGUUGGUGCCGUUCUGUAGGAAGUUUGGUGAAGGCGCAUGGAUUGGGCGGAUACGGAACUUCGUGGCCAGUCCCACGUGCGUGAAGAGGAAAAGUAAUUUCUGUUGAAGUAGGGUGGGGGAGAGGGAAGGCCUUGUCGACCCCCCGGGAAGGCUGCGCCAGUUUUGGAGUGGCGCUGAGCGAAUGAAGGGUCUUGCUGAGAAGCAGUGGGCUGGGGGAUGGCGAGGGCUCGAUUUAUUUUCUCGGGAUGGACGCAAUGGAAAUUGGGAGUUAAAAGAGGGAACUUGUGCAUGUGGCCUGCGUGUGACGGCAUUGAAUGGAAGGGGUAGCCUCGCUUACGACAAGGAAAUACCUGAUAGCGAAUACCGUUGCGAGCUCUCGUAACUAGUGGUGAGUUGGUGCGGUAGCAUGCAGCUUGGUAGCAUUGCGAUGGAGCUUCGUUCCUUUCCCUGAGACACCUCCCUCUGCUUGGACCCCGUGCCGGGGCCUCCGUUUCACCCUCCGCUAAUGGUGGUCUAUCAUUCGUAUUACAUACAUAUUCACACAUACCUUACAG